rnacentral:rRNA from 1 species
AUUGAACGCUGGCGGCAGGCCUAACACAUGCAAGUCGAGCGGAUGAAGGGAGCUUGCUCCUGGAUUCAGCGGCGGACGGGUGAGUAAUGCCUAGGAAUCUGCCUUGUAUUUGGGGAUAACGUCCGGAAACGGGCGCUAAUACCGCAUACGUCCUGAUGUAGAAAGGGGGGGAUCUUCGGACCUCACGCUAUCAGAUGAGCCUAGGUCGGAUUAGCUAGUUGGUGGGGUAAAGGCCUACCAAGGCGACGAUCCGUAACUGGUCUGAGAGGAUGAUCAGUCACACUGGAACUGAGACACGGUCCAGACUCCUACGGGAGGCAGCAGUGGGGAAUAUUGGACAAUGGGCGAAAGCCUGAUCCAGCAAUGCCGCGUGUGUGAAGAAGGUCUUCGGAUUGUAAAGCACUUUAAGUUGGGAGGAAGAGCAGUAAGUUAAUACCUUGCUGUUUUGACGUUACCAACAGAAUAAGCACCGGCUAACUUCGUG